rnacentral:rRNA from 1 species
CGAACGGGUGAGUAACACGUGAGGAACCUGCCUCAAAGAGGGGGACAACAGUUGGAAACGACUGCUAAUACCGCAUAAGCCCACAGGUCGGCAUCGACCAGAGGGAAAAGGAGCAAUCCGCUUUGAGAUGGCCUCGCGUCCGAUUAGCUAGUUGGUGAGGUAAUAGCCCACCAAGGCGACGAUCGGUAGCCGGACUGAGAGGUUGAACGGCCACAUUGGGACUGAGACACGGCCCAG